rnacentral:rRNA from 1 species
AGGACGAACGCUGGCGGCGUGCCUAAUACAUGCAAGUCGAGCGGUCUUUCUAUGGAAGUUUGCUUCCACUGAGAAGAUAGUGGCGAACGGGUGAGUAACACGUGGGUAACCUGCCCAUAAGAGGGGGAUAACAUCCGGAAACGGGUGCUAAUACCGCAUAGUUUUCUUGAUCGCAUGAUCGGGAAAGGAAAGACGGCCUUUGUGCUGUCGCUUAUGGAUGGACCCGCGGCGUAUUAGUUAGUUGGUGAGGUAAUGGCUCACCAAGACGAUGAUACGUAGCCGACCUGAGAGGGUGAUCGGCCACAUUGGGACUGAGACACGGCCCAAACUCCUACGGGAGGCAGCAGUAGGGAAUCUUCCGCAAUGGACGAAAGUCUGACGGAGCAACGCCGCGUGAGUGAAGAAAGGUUUUCGGAUCGUAAAACUCUGUUGUCAGAGAAGAACAAGUUGGAGAGUAACUGCUCCAGCCUUGACGGUAUCUGACCAGAAAGCCACGGCUAACUACGUGCCAGCCGCCGC